CAGCAGCCGCGGAAAUACGGAGGGUGCAAGCGUUAUCCGGAUUUAUUGGGUUUAAAGGGUCCGUAGGCGGAUCUGUAAGUCAGUGGUGAAAUCUCACAGCUUAACUGUGAAACUGCCAUUGAUACUGCAGGUCUUGAGUAAAUUUGAAGUGGCUGGAAUAAGUAGUGUAGCGGUGAAAUGCAUAGAUAUUACUUAGAACACCAAUUGCGAAGGCAGGUCACUAAGAUUUAACUGACGCUGAUGGACGAAAGCGUGGGGAGCGAACAGGAUUAGAUACCCCGGUAGUCCCUGUCUCUUAUAC
rnacentral:rRNA from 1 species